CCUACGGGUGGCUGCAGUAAGGAAUAUUGGUCAAUGGACGAAAGUCUGAACCAGCCAUCCCGCGUGCAGGAUGAAAGCCCUAUGGGUUGUAAACUGCUUUUAGCAGAGAAGAAAAGCUUUCAUUAAUGAGAGUCUGACGGUAUCUGCAGAAUAAGCACCGGCUAACUCUGUGCCAGCAGCCGCGGUAAUACGGAGGGUGCGAGCGUUACUCGGUAUAACGGGGGUGUAGGGGGACUAUUGAGGAGGUGGUGAAAUCUUGUCGCUUAACGAUACAAUUGCCAAUGAUACUGGUACUCUUGAAUUGGGUUGAGGUUAGCGGAAUGUGACAUGUAGCGGUGAAAUGCAUAGAUAUGUCAUGGAACACCAAUUGCGAAGGCAGCUAACUGGGCCUUGAUUGACGCUGAGGCACGAAAGCGUGGGUAGCGAACAGGAUUAGAUACCCCUGUAGUC
rnacentral:rRNA from 1 species